rnacentral:tRNA from 1 species
GGAUUGUGCCUCAGCGGUAGAGCAUUCGCCUAGCAUGUGCGAGACCCUGGGUUUGAUCCUCAGCACCG